UUGUUUUCUCAGGUUUCCUGUUUGUGCCCUGCUGUCACUGGUCUGUACAAUUCCACAGACUAAAAGUUGGAGGGUUUUUUCAGGUGAAUUUUGGGGAAUUAGGAACACAGCUCCCAAGAUCAUAAUUUUCCCAGUCCAGGACUGUACCUGCAAACCAACGACCACUCUGGCACAUGCCAGCCCACUGAUACAUUGCUCCUCUGUAACUGCUGUGGGACAGGAGUACAUAAGUGCACAACAGAAAAAAAACCAGCAUUGAAGAAGCGUGUAAUAGAGGAAUGUUGCACACAAAAUAAUGUUUGGGGUCAUCCAAGGAAGAUGGACAGGAUGGAGGGCAGGAAGGUCCCAAAGCCUGACAUUUGGGCGAGAGGUCCUCUCUGAAGUAAGCAUCGCUCUCCAAUCCAUCGCAGUCAAAUCCCAUGAGGGAACACCACAAGAUGCUCUCCUUCCCGAGAAAUACCUGCCUUCUCCUGCUCCCCUCUGUGGUUUAAUUAAAGCAUUUUAGAAAUUUCUGCUCAGCA